GUGCCAGCAGCCGCGGUAAUACGUAGGUCCCGAGCGUUGUCCGGAUUUAUUGGGCGUAAAGCGAGCGCAGGUGGUUUAUUAAGUCUGGUGUAAAAGGCUGUGGCUCAACCAUAGUUCGCUUUGGAAACUGUCAAACUUGAGUGCAGAAGGGGAGAGUGGAAUUCCAUGUGUAGCGGUGAGAUGCGUAGAUAUAUGGAGGAACACCGGUGGCGAAAGCGGCUCUCUGGUCUGUAACUGACGCUGAGGCUCGAAAGCGUGGGGAGCGAACAGGGUUAGAUACCCUGGUAGUCCACGCCGUGAACGAUGAGUGCUAGAUGUAGGGAGCUAUAAGUUCUCUGUAUCGCAGCUAACGCAAUAAGCACUCCGCCUGGGGAGCACGACCGCAAGGUUGAAACUUAAAUGAAUUGACGG
rnacentral:rRNA from 1 species